AUGCCUGAAUCACCCGUUUAUAGUCCAAAAGAAAGAAAUCUUUCCUUGGCCCACAAUUAGGCCCAAUACCCCAAAUCCUCCACCUUCCUCUCUCUUCUUUCUGGCUUUCACAACGCUUUGUCUACGCUCUCUCAUGCCGUGACAUGGAGAGAGCUCUUCCUCUACUGUAGAAAGAGAAGGGUUUUUUUGAUAAAAAGAAAUUCGGGGGCUUCUCGAGAGAGAAAGAGAAGGGUUUCUAGUAUGAUUCGCAAGGCAUUGAGAGAAAUUUGUUUCAAUGGCGGAAAUCAGAAGAUAUGAUCUCAUACACAUAGACAAACCUUGGGAUUAGUAACAUCAUUUAGAAGGUGGAAAAGCAGGAGGAUGGAUGAAUUCUAGCAAUCUCUUUUCAGGGCAUGGCACGUGUCAAACGACUAAUAGCCAAAAUACUCAGAAUGUGGGGGUGGUUGCUACAUGUCAAAUAAACAGUGGUUGUUGAAUGUCUGAACGAGAAGUUCAUGAAAAGGAUAAGAUUGUACCAAUUUGUAAUCAGAAUCCUACACCAGAUAUCUAAAUUAUGUGGUGUUCUUUUGUCUGUAAUUCCAACAGUAUCAUCCGGGUGCUGUGUCUUUUUGUGGUGGUUAUGCCUCUAUUAAUUAUUCUAUUUGACUCAUCAGAUUUAUGUUUGUUUUUCAAGUUCACCCUGCGGACCACAUUGUAUAAUUAAAUAUGAUAUAUAUCUUCAACGAAUGUAAUUACCGCAAGCCAGAUCAGUGCUAUGAAUUAGCACAUCUUUGGAGUUCUGUAGGUGGAUUCCAUCUGUAUUUGGACUGUCUCCGGGAGAUGAGGUUCUCAUAUCAUGCACCACAACUCCUAUGCAAUUGUCAAACUUGAGAUGGCAUUGUGGACUGUUUUGAAUUGUUAUGCCUGUGACCGUCACAUUGAAACUUCCAUAAAAUCUUAGUGCCUGAAAAAAGAAAGAAUGCCAAUCAUGUUAUGAAGUGCAUGCUCGUGAAUUGCAAUAGAAAUCUUCAUAGUUUUCAUGUAUUUCUUACGGUGGGCUUGAUGCUCGGCAUUUUCCCGCUAAGUUCACUUCUUAUCUACAACACAAUUCGGAAAAGAGGCAUGAUCAGAUUGAGAUCAAUACGGCAGAAAAUAAUUGCAGUGGAAGUUACAAACAAAUUGAAGGUAAUUACUGGCAUCGGUGGGUGGUGUUGUGCUGUGUUGUUCAGUGGAACAAUGAAUUCCGAUUCAUUGUCUAUAGGAUCUUCAAAUGGGUAAUCUUGCCACCAUACUGAGCCGCUUCCAUCUAUGGUGCCUUCUCCCUGAAUUGUGAUUCCUACAAGCUUUGUGAAUUCAAGCCACUGAAAGAGACCUCUACCCCAAACAUUGGAGUUUGUUGGGGCAAUAAUUGUGCCAUCCAGCUGAGGAAAAAAUUCGUUAUACCAUCACUCAUCAAUAUGAAGUGCAUGAAUUGCAUAUUCUAUAUCUGAUACUUACUUGAAAUACGAUGUUUGCUUGACAGUACGGACCAGAGAAAGAAAUAGGCCCCACAAGGAAUACAUAUUUCGCCGGAACGAUCAUCGUUGAUGCCGCCACUUUACAAGCUUCUGCCCAUGCAGCUUGGAAUGCCUGCAUAGCACCGGAACACCAUGUCAACUAGCUGUAUAGUAAGUAACAAUAACAGUAACUGUACUCGGAGGAUCACGGUUAGUGUUGGUUUGUGCAUAACUGCAAGUAAUUAUUAUUAUUCAUUUUUCAGGGGAAAAAAAACAUUAAGAAUGUAGCUAUGAUGUGCUCUUGGAAUUCAUGUGAAAGAUGGAGUCAUUAUCUGUUGAUUAUUAA